UAUAUUUAGUAGUAGUAGUAGUUGUUGUAAUUGUAAUAAUGUAUAUUCAGUAAAAUUGUCAUCUAGAUUUACAAAUGGAUGGGUAUGUAUAUGAACUGCUGGUAUACAGUUCAGCAUGUACUGUAUAUGGUGCAGGUAGGGAGUAUACAGUGUCCUGUGUACCAAGACAGUGUAGGUAUAUGGUGCAGGUAGGGAGUAUACAGUGUCCUGUGUACCAAGACAGAGUAGGUAUAUGGUGCAGGUAGGGAGUAUACAGUGUCCUGUGUACCAAGACAGAGUAG